AUUGAACGCUGGCGGCAUGCCUUACACAUGUAAGUCGAACGGUAACGGGCCUUCGGGCGCCGACGAGUGGCGAACGGGUGAGUAAUGGAUCGGAACGUAUCUUUCAGAGGCGGACAACGAAGCAAUAGUUACGCUAAUACUGCAUAUUCUAUGAGAAAGAAAGAAGGGGAUCGCAAGACCUUGCGCGGAUUGAGCGGCCGACGUCAGUUUAGCUAGUUGGGGAGGGAAGGGCUCACCAAGGCGAAGAUCUGUAGGGGGUCUGAGAGGAUGUUCCGCCACCAUGUAACGGAGACACGGUCCAGACUCCUACGGGAGGCAGCAGUGGGGAAUUUUGGACAAUGGGGGCAACCCUGAUCCAGCCAAGCCGCGUGAGUGAAGAAGGCCUUAGGGUUGUAAAGCUCUGACGGCCGCGAAGAAAUCGUAUGGGCUAAUACCCUGUGCGGAUGACGGUACCGGCAUAAGAAGCACCGGCUAACUACGUGCCAGCCGCCGCCGUAACAC
rnacentral:rRNA from 1 species